rnacentral:lncRNA from 1 species
GGAAUAAGAAAAGAGAAUUCGAUGACAAAGCGGGUCGCGGCAGAUAAGAAUGAUUGGGAAACGGGAGCAGAAAUAUAUCUGGGAAAACAAUUUAUCGCGAGACAAGUUGCCGUGGCAAAUAACGGAGUGCACUCUUGACCCAAUGAAAGAAAUGAUACGCUUUGACGAGCGAAACUGGGGGGAUUGGUUACCGUCUUCUGGUCAUCCGAUUGUUGCGAUUCCCGUCCCCAGAUUAAUCGCGCUCUUUAUACUCAUCUGCCGACGCUAUAUUGCAUUCCGUUCCCCGGAUUUAUUUCGCCUCGCGAUAUCGACGAGAGUUAUAUAGAGAUCUUAUAGUCUCACGAGAGUCGUAUUGAAGAUACGUGGAUCGAGUGUCGUUAUUAUUUCUUCUCUCGUGUUUGUCGUGGUUUCCUUAAAAGUGAUCAUCAAUUUCAACUUGAUAUUAAUUAAAGCAAAUAUUGAGAUAUAAACAAAAGGAUCUUCGAUAUAUAAAGAAUUUUCAAAUUGAAAAGGUUCUCGGUGAUAUAACAAAGAUGAGAUUUCAACUUUAUAUUCUUCAUCUUUGCUUCUUUGUGCUUGUUGUGUUGACGUACCUUUCCCAGGGACAGUUGACAACAACAACAACCACAACCGAGGAGCCUGCCACUUUUCUACAAAAGAUGCACGAAGCGUUCAAAAAAGUGAAGGAAAACGCGAAAAUUUCUAAUUUUCAUUUCUUCGACCCGUCAACUUGGAUGCCCACGACAACAACUACGGAGAAAAAUCCAGAAGAAUUAACCGAAAGUUUCGAUAUAACGAACAGGCAACUGAUUACAGUUCCUGUCAGAUGCCCGCCCAAUUUUGACUUCAUAAAGGGAAGGUGUCGCGAGAAAAUUCUAUAAAUUUUCUUUAAUUCUUCUACCAAUCUUCCAGAUAUAUUAUACAUCGACAUAUUAUUUCAAUUCACGUAAUAUAUAAUAAAAAAUACUAAUUCUCAUUCCUGUUUUACAAAUAGCCUUCGUAAAGGUACACAGAAAAGUGCUAAAAAAAAAGAGAUAAUUCUUCCUUGUAACAACGUUAUUAAAUAAAAUAUAAUCGAUCAAAAUCGAUACAUUAUUACACACACACACAGUUAUCAUGCAAUUUCAUUUUUGUUUUGAAACGUUACACGAUGUUACACGAUCGUCACGUUUGAUCAUCCCAAGGGAGAUGCGACGCAAUUAUCGAACGCUUGUCUCGCGUGGAGUUUCGUGGAAACUUGACAACAACUGCGAAUGAGAUGCGAAAGGGGAGAGAAAUAUCGGGGUAGUAGGUCUACCCGCGAAGCGAGCGAACUUUACGAGGGCCGAUGAAUCUUGCGUGAAAUGAAAUGUGAAAAACUUAUGGAAUAAAGGUUCCGUGUAAUUUUACGGGGAGGGGGGCAAGGAAUCUUCCGCUAAAUGAAAUGUGAAAUGACCUCUGAGUGAAACCGUUUCAACUCGAAUAAGAAACUCGAUCCACGAAAGUUCGAGCAACGUGAUCCCGAAUAAUCACGAUCGAGCGUAAUAAUUUUGAUGAAUUUUAAUUCCAGUUAACACAAACGAGCAGAAUAAUUGAAGUUCCACGAAGGAAGUAAGAAUUAAUUAACGAAAAAAAAAAAAAAAAUAAAGACAAGGUUACGUAAAAUUAAUAAACUGUCUUAAAAUUGAAACUUCUUAAAAUUUAUAAAAAACAUAAUUUGUAAUAUUAAUCAAUUUGUGACUCGUAAAAUUUUUAAGAUAAUUUUUUAAAAUCGAUGAUUACAAAAUUGAAGCGCAGGAACAACAUUCGACCAAUUACCGGUCAGGUAAAUUAAUUCAAUUUCGCAGGUUCUCAUGUUAGUCACCAGAGAAAAAUACGCGAUACGAUCUGAUCAGAUAGGGAUCGAGGUCUCUUUGCAAACGCGACGAAGGCACGAGAGAGAGAAAUGGCCGAAAAAUUCGCUCGCCGUCCCCUCCCCCGACACUUAUCGUAAUCGUUCAUUAACCAAACACCACACUUUUCUCGGCCAAUUAUCAAUUACGAUCGUUGUAACUUGAUUCAUGCUCGUUUCGCGUGACACACGUUUCCGCGAACGUGGCGCAACAAAACUUCGAAUUAAAAUUCCACGAUUACACGCCGAUAAUAAGAAAUACGUGUGUAUACAGCGAGUGAAUGCACACAAUAUAGUUUUUCACAGAGAACGAACGCGUAUAUAUAUAUGGAGAUGGAAUGGAAAAGAAUGAAAGGGGAGCAACCGAAUUUGCGUGAUUGCUAAUUGUGGACGUAGAACCUUUGGCGACGUACUCUCCUCCUUUUCCUCUUGUGUUCGCGUAUUCAAGUCGGCCAGAUUUUGUACUCAUUGUCAGAAAGUAAAGACCUCCUCGACACUUGUUGCUCGCCAUCGACAUUUGUCUGCGCGUUCCACUGUUAUAUACGCGUGUGCAUUUCGCUUUCGUGGUUGCAUUCUUUGUCAAGUUGUAUGUGUAGAUGUAUAGAAUGACUCGAACAUGUACAGAGAGAGAGAGAGAGGGGGGGGAGGGUAGUUAGAACGACUUGAUAAUAUAGAAUACCUUACUAUUCUUCAUUUCUCUUAUUCUCUUUGAAUUGUACGACAAAUGUCUAUAAAAUAAGUAUCCGUUAUUGUCAAUUAUGUGUACGUUGUAUCUCUGAGCGUUUAAUCGAAACUGUUCUUCGUGUGAAAAAGAGAAGAUUUUUCUGUAUGUACAAUAUUUUAUCCUUUUCUUUUGCAUUCUUAUUUAAUCAUCGACGAAUGCAAUUCCUUUUUCGUGUUCGAGGGUGGUUUAAAAGUGAUAACGUUUGUUGGAUUUGGGUUAAGUGUGAAUCAAGAAUAGAUUAGAUCAAACUUAACUAGUACUUAGCUAUGAUACAGUUUCCUUAAUAUUGCUCGUGAUCACGUAACUGUAGAGGAAAAGAAGUAGCAGAAGUGCAAUAGCAAACGAAUUUUUGUGAAUCUUUCUUCUUGUUCCAUAUAAUUUUUUUUAGAUAGAAUUGAAAAAUUGCAUUUUGUAACGAGUUUAUUUAAAAUUAUUAAAGUCAAAAUAAAAGAGGAUAUAUUUUCACAGAAAUACUUACAAGUUGAUGGAUAUAAUUUGAAAGAUGUUGUAAGCUGAAUUCGUUUAAAUCCUGAAGUUAAUCUAAUUUAGAAUAUAAUGGGAGAGUUAAGAUUAGCGUGAAUUAGUAAGGAUUAGACAUAAAUUCGGAUCUAACUUGAGAUCGUUUAAAUUUCGGGCUAAAUUUUCCCGAUAAAAUUUUUAUAUUAAAUAUUACGUACGGUCGAUCAAAUUAUAAUCGAUAAGCAGUUUCACAAGAUCGAGCGUUCAAUUGUUUAAUAACGGGUGACAAUUUUUCGCCGGUCAGGAAAAGUCAUAAAAUUAAUUCGUAUUUAUUUUUAAAACAAAUGAAUCGAGCGAAAAAUUUUAUUUCUGCUUUAUUGGAUUUGGCUUCAAUGUUUCAGAAAGAUAACGUUUCGCACGCCAGAGUAUAUUUAACGAGGUGGUAAAUACACGAGAGAUAUACAAUAUUCGAUUCUAUAUAUAUAAACGCGUCAUUUUCCAAUUUGUCGAUACGAUAUUUAAAAACUAUAGUUUCAUUAAACUUUCUCUCUCUCUCUCUCUCUCUCCUCAUAAAUUCUAUACGUUCAAUUGAGUCGAUUCCAGUGUAAAAUUUUCGAAAAAAAUGUCGUGUAAAUGAACGAACAUCGUAAAGAAAUAUCGAUAUGAGUGAAUUUCAUUCGUUAUUCGAAUUAAAUGGGCAAAAUUUCCUUUCGAUCGCCAUAAUUUUCCAACUUGUCGUCCGAGUGUCGUUCAAAAUUGCGAACACGAGGGCGAAUAGUGAAAAAAAAA